ensembl:lncRNA
CAGAACAUCACGGCAUUUGUUGUGGUAAAUAGUUCAGUGGCAAAGCGCCCGUUCCAUCUGCGGACCUCCAAAUGACCCUGAAUGCAGAGGUACAGAAAAGCUUUCCAUGCUCAUCCAGCCCAUCUCUGGUUACAUGAUAAGAAACGAGGCUGACACAGCAAUAUAAAUGUGACUACUCGCUAAGAAUGACCGCGGGUCAGGCCACACGAUCCAGGGGAUACCCGGUAACAGAAGCUGUCAUAUUUAUCGCUGGCGUCUUCAGAGCCAGCUUGAGUAGCUGGAGACAGAGCACACAAAAGGACUAUUCAGUGCAGCCCAUGGUCUGAAAUGAAACAGAUGCGCUGUGGAAGUUUGCAAACUCCCCGGCACAGAAGGUUGGCAGAUCUGCGCUCUGUAACCAGGGCCCAUCUUCUUGGCAGAGCGCUCCGCACCCCGGUGCCAGUGGCACUGCUCCUGCUGUGCAGACGAAGGGCGGUCUGGAGGACAAAGCACUCAGCUUGGCAGUUAAAGGCAGGGAGAACUAAACCAAGGCUGAGAGCCCACUCGAGCUUUUAAGCCCUCCCACCAAUUUUGGAUGGUAAGCUGGUAUUUCAGGAAUUAGUACAACCAAAGGCACCUGGUCUGGUUUUACGGACUGGAACGCUCUUGGAAAGCAAUCAGAUACGAUUUGGACAAAAACAAUGGAGGCCCAGACACAGAGGCUGCCCUGGGAGAGUAUACCAGCUGUCUGCUCAGUUUCAAACCUCUAAUCAUGUUCUUGGAGAGAAAGCAAGGGGACCUGUUAGGGGUUGCCGAGCUCCGAGCUCAGGGCCAGGUCCAGGCGGCGGAGCCCGCGAGAGGGAGUCCUCCCAGCACACAGCACCUCGGACUUGAAUUUCUGGCACCCGGACAGCAGUAAAUGAGACCGAGUUUCUGAAUAUUCGCCACGGGCUGAGGACGAGGCGAGGGGAUUAAAAACGGUGGCACAAGCUAAGAUGAAAUAGUGGAAGUGGGGAGAGCAGCGGGAUGAAGGCUGGCAGCGCACAGAUGGGCAGAGCACCUGCUGGCAUGGCAUGCAUCGCUCCCAGGGAAUCCAGACUACUGGUACUGCCUCAAAGCAAAUCAAAGCCUCGGACAGAAAUAGCCAAAGCCCUGCCAUGCCCUCCUUCAACUCUUUAAAAACAUCUUUGCCCCUACUUGCAAACUACACAGGAGCAUUCAACAGCUGGCAGACUGCAAAGCCGCGCCUUCACAGAUCAUUCCAAGAGACCCUGGUGCUCUCCCCAUUGAUUUCCUUAGGCCAUGCUUUGUCUCAAUGCAACGUGUGACAUCACCUGGAGAUACCUCACUUUGCCUUCCAUUCACCCCAGUGAGAUGCAGGCAAUUACCUGAGCCCUUUGUUAGGAGUCUAAUCCUCUUGGGCCCUACAGAAGAUCAGCAGUGUUUCCAAAGGUGAUUCAGCCCACCCCAUCGGCCUCUGUGCUACUAACAUGGGUACACCAAACAUGAAGAGGUGUGAAGUCAUCCAGCUCUGUGCACACACGAUUCCUAUCUCUGUACAGGACCUCCUGUUGCUGCCACCAAGCUCCCAAACCAGCACGCCCCAUACAGAGCCCUGACACCUUGCUCUGCAGCAUGUUCAAUGCCCUGCACUGAUGCCCUGAAUCUGUUCCCUUUCUGCUGAGCCCCGGGCCCUCCCUGUCAUCACCAGGAGAGAUGGAUGCUCUCAAAGCAAUAUUCAAUCUGCCAGGAGCCUAAGUUGCCUCCUGCACCUUAUUUCUCUCCGCUGACCCAAAGGAACGCUUGGUGGAACAGAACUGUGACCCAGGACACGCAAUCUUGUGCUUCAUGUUACAGCAAAUCUACAGCUAAGAGCUUGCACAUGCAGAGUGAGAGAAUAAGAACUGCUCUGGAGUACUUGCACUAUAAAAUGCUGCACACCUGAGAGAUUUUUGGACUCCAAGUAAGCCACAAAUAUGAAGUGUGAAUGGUUUACACUGGCACCUGGUCUUCUCAGCAGCUCAAUAUGCAUAAACGAUGUUGAAGUUAACCAAAAGAACGAUCAAGGCACCAGAAAGCUAUCAUAGAAGUGAGUCCUGGUUAUGGGAACUGUAAGAAACCAAACCUUUUGAGGAGUGUGAUUCAAAUCCUGACCACCAGACUAAGGCAUAACUUCUCCUGAAGCCACCCAAGAGACAGGCUUGCACCAAUUGCAGAUCUGGUCCUGUUUGAAACGCUUUCAAAGAAACCAAACUGCAUUCGGUUUCUUAGGAACUGCCCCAGAUCUCACAUUACCAGCAUCCAAAGACAGAAAUCAAAGCACAGCAUACUUCAAGGCCCACAUUCAGCCCUCAGGAUGCUACUCACAGAACUCAGAGUCACUCCAGGGAAGAGGCUGACUGAUCACGGCGGUGAUUCUAUGACAUCUGCAAUGCACAGCACUGCUGCUGCCUUUGAACACAACUUCAGCCUCGCCUCAGCGAUCCCUCCUUUGUGGUGGCAUUCCCUUCUCAUCCAGCUGCCAAAAGGAGAUCUGAAAUGAACAUCAUAAACAUUGAUUUUUUUUUUCCUGCUAAGCAUCCAAAACCAUAUCCGAGAUAAACAAACAAAGCAAAACACUUGGCCCGAACCAUAUCCUGGCUCCAAACAAAUCUGGAUAAGAAAUUUGUGGUUGAGAUCUGUUCAUAUUAAACCCAGUGAAGUAAAUAUAUCUCACAUGUGGCCAUUUCUGUGAUUCCAGAGACCCAAAGUAUUCUGUGGCUUGGUUAACAUCCUUUGCCAUCAUUCUGGAUGUGACUCGUGGGUAGGUCUGUGCCAUAGGGCCAGGGAUACCCCAGUUGUGUCUGAGAGCACUAACCCAGACCCAGAGACACCAAGCAGCAUGGAGGAAGAUGUAGGUAUUACAUGGGCAGUCUAAUUUCUGGAAUCAGAGCAUCUCUGUGACCCUGCGCCAGAACUAGCUUGGGAUCUAAUCCGCCCCAGGAACAUGCCCCUUAGGCCUGGGCACAUCUCACUUACCUUUAGGAACCUGCCUGAAGUGCCUCAGGUGAGAGACAUCCCCAAGGCACUCAUGCAAUCAACAGCCAGAGGUACCUUUGGAGAUGCCAAUCUCUCGCAUUAGCUACAACGCCUUAGGGCAGUUCAAGCCCAAUGAUCUAAGCCAGCCAGUGCCUCAGAUCCAGCUUUCCUUUGUGCUCUGCUAUCCUGGCAGUUGUUUGGCUCCUGCCCAGAAAUGGAGCACCUUGGGGAUCUCGCAUCACAGCCCAAGCUUUCCAAAUAGCAUUAUCUGCAAAGCCGUAAGGAUGUACGUGGAUCAUCAGUUCUCAUACAGAGCAUCUUUCCUUCCCAUUGAUUUUCCAUCACUGCUCUAACUUCCAGGAAACACAAGGGAUUUCCUGUGGCACGUGGGACUCGAUGGCAGGACACUGCUAAAGCCAAAGACGAUGAGAGGCUGCAGAGCUCCAAAUGUGCUGCACCUUGUGCUCGCAGCUUCCACCGAGUUCAACUUUUGCCUAAAAAGAACUAAUUAACACCGGACAGCCCCGCAGCAAUUCCUCAUCUGCUCUGGAGCAGAGGAGCCCAUCACUAUGGUGAUACAACAUUAAAGGGCUGGGUCCAAAAUGCUUUUCUGGCAGGAAGACGCACGCACCAGGCCAGAAUCGGGGAUGCCAGGCGAGCUGCUUGUAACUCUGGAGGAGAUGCUCCAGGCUUACCCCAGUGUCACUGAGAUUAGCCCUGGCCCGCGGCCUUUGAGGACAGCUCCAUCCCGGCAGGCAGAUGGCUCGCCUUC